rnacentral:rRNA from 1 species
UACGAAGGGGGCUAGCGUUGUUCGGAAUCACUGGGCGUAAAGCGCACGCAGGCGGAUUGAUAAGUCAGGGGUGAAAUCUCGGGGGCUCAACCCCCGAGCGGUCGUGAGAAACUGGCAGGCUAGAGUGCGGGAGAGGAGAGUGGAAUUCCUGGUGUAGCGGUGAAAUGCGCAGAUAUCAGGAGGAACACCGGUGGCGAAGGCGGGUCUCUGGGCCGUAACUGACGCUGAGGAGCGAAAGCGUGGGGAGCGAACAGGA